ensembl:lincRNA 1700054A03Rik RIKEN cDNA 1700054A03 gene
AUGAUUAAGACAUAGAGACGGAACCAGCUUGAUUUAAUACCGAAAUGGGUCUGACAUGAACCAUGGCCAAGUCAACAGAGACAGGCAACCAACACGUGACACUUGCCUGCAAGCUUUUCUGAGACACGGAUGGCUGAGAGCCAGCUCUAAAUAUUUCACGUCUCUGUCUGAGUUGAUCAGGUUUCCCAAAGCAGGUGUUACUGCCCGGUUCUCCUCACCAGAGAAAGAAUAGCAACCAGGAAAACCUCUAUCCUCAAUGGAGCAAGUGUCUGUGGAAUUGACUAGUGUGUAGUGAACAGUUGCGUGGACACUUAUGUGCUGCGUGCGGAAUGUUUGGGGUGUUUGCCGUGACCUAGCUCACUGUCUCAUCACAAAGGCUUUAGGAGGGUUCAGUCCAUCACAGCAGGGAAAGCAUGGCCGCAGAUGCAAGGCAGUUGUCAAUAUCGUCUCCACAGUCAGCAAGCAGAGAGUAGACAGGAAACACGGCAUGGACAUAAAACCUUCAAGCCUUCCUCAGUGGCCUGCUUUCUCCAGAGGAGUUCCACUUCCUAAUGGCUACGCACACUUCCAAAAGAGCACCACCAGCUGGGGACCAGCUGUUCCAACAUGAGCCUGUGGGGGACAUUUACCAUUCAAGCACACGGGAGACUGCUAUGGACAGAAGAAAGCAGAGCGUUUUCUUCAGAUAUGGCGAGCAGGAUGUGAUUUGUUGCUUCUAUCUGCACAGGUUUAACUCAAGAAAUCGUCAUCACCAGAAUUCAAAUAAAACCUUCAGUUCUC